UGUUCCUGUUCAAUUCAAUAGGAAAAGUAUUCUGGAAAGCAAGCAAAUUGUGACUGUCAGGUAAUCAGACAGGCCAUGGACGGUAAAGCUGAGGUGCUAUGGACACGAUCGGGGCAUUUUUCUGCUGGUCUGCAUGUGGAGGAUGUUUGUGUGUUUACUCUCCUUGAUAGGGAUGAUGUUGUGUGCAGAGUCUACAUAUUCACUAGUGCUGGUAAGGACUUGAUUUACAUUGAUCGAGAUGAACUCUGGAAGUGUCACUUUGGCUGGUCCAUAAUAAAU